ACGGGAGGCAGCAGUGGGGAAUAUUGCGCAAUGGGGGAAACUCUGACGCAGCGACGCCGCGUGAGUGAAGAAGUAUUUCGGUAUGUAAAGCUCUAUCAGCAGGGAAGAUAAUGACGGUACCUGACUAAGAAGCACCGGCUAAAUACGUGCCAGCAGCCGCGGUAAUACGUAUGGUGCAAGCGUUAUCCGGAUUUACUGGGUGUAAAGGGAGCGUAGGUGGUUUGGCAAGCCAGAGGUGAAAACCCGGGGCUCAACUCCGGGAUUGCCUUUGGAACUGUUGGACUAGAGUGCAGGAGGGGUAAGUGGAAUUCCCAGUGUAGCGGUGAAAUGCGUAGAUAUUGGGAGGAACACCGGUGGCGAAGGCGGCUUACUGGACUGUAACUGACACUGAGGCUCGAAAGCGUGGGGAGCAAACAGGAUUAGAUACCCUGGUA
rnacentral:rRNA from 1 species